rnacentral:rRNA from 1 species
CAGCAGCCGCGGGAAAACGUAGGUGGCAAGCGUUGUCCGGAAUUAUUGGGCGUAAAGGGCUCGCAGGCGGUUUCUUAAGUCUGAUGUGAAAGCCCCCGGCUCAACCGGGGAGGGUCAUUGGAAACUGGGAAACUUGAGUGCAGAAGAGGAGAGUGGAAUUCCACGUGUAGCGGUGAAAUGCGUAGAGAUGUGGAGGAACACCAGUGGCGAAAGCGACUCUCUGGUCUGUAACUGACGCUGAGGAGCGAAAGCGUGGGGAGCGAACAGGAUUAGAUACCCCAGUAGUCCCUGUCUCUUAUAC